GACGAACGCUGGCGGCGUGCUUAACACAUGCAAGUCGAACGGAAAGGCCCUGCUUGCAGGGUACUCGAGUGGCGAACGGGUGAGUAACACGUGGGUGAUCUGCCCUGCACUUCGGGAUAAGCCUGGGAAACUGGGUCUAAUACCGGAUAGGAGCCAUUUUUAGUGUGAUGGUUGGAAAGUUUUUUCGGUGUAGGAUGAGCUCGCGGCCUAUCAGCUUGUUGGUGGGGUAAUGGCCUACCAAGGCGGCGACGGGUAGCCGGCCUGAGAGGGUGGACGGCCACAUUGGGACGGAGAUACGGCCCAGACUCCUACGGGAGGCAGCAGUGGGGAAUAUUGCACAAUGGGCGCAAGCCUGAUGCAGCGACGCCGCGUGGGGGAUGACGGCCUUCGGGUUGUAAACUCCUUUCGCUAGGGACGAAGCUUUUUGUGACGGUACCUAGAUAAGAAGCACCGGCUAACUACGUG
rnacentral:rRNA from 1 species